rnacentral:rRNA from 1 species
UACAGAGGGGGCAAGCGUUGUUCGGAAUUACUGGGCGUAAAGGGCUCGUAGGCGGCCAACUAAGUCAGACGUGAAAUCCCUCGGCUUAACCGGGGAACUGCGUCUGAUACUGGAUGGCUAGAGGUUGGGAGAGGGAUGCGGAAUUCCAGGUGUAGCGGUGAAAUGCGUAGAUAUCUGGAGGAACACCGGUGGCGAAGGCGGCAUCCUGGACCAUCACUGACGCUGAGGCACGAAAGCGUGGGGUGCAAACAGG